AGCUCCAAUAGCGUAUAUUCAAGUUGUUGCAGUUAAAAAGCUCGUAGUUGAAUUUUGACCCUGGUUAACCGGUAUGGACGCAAGUCCAUCACUGGUUUGGCUGGGGUUUUCCUUCUAGGGAACUAGUGUGCUCUUUAUUGAGUGCGCUAGGGAUCUAGGACUGUUACUUUGAAAAAAUUAGAGUGUUUAAAACAGGCUUAUGCUUGAAUACAUUAGCAUGGAAUAACGGAAUAGGACUUUGUUUCUAUUUUGUUGGUUUUCAGAAACGAAGUAAUGAUUAAUAGGGAUAGUUGGGGGCAUUAGUAUUCCACAGUCAGAGGUGAAAUUCUUGGAUUUGUGAAAGACUAACUUCUGCGAAAGCAUUUGCCAAGGAUGUUUUCAUUA
rnacentral:rRNA from 1 species